UACAGAGGGUGCAAACGUUGUUCGGAAUUACUGGGCGUAAAGCGUGUGUAGGCGGUUUUGUAAGUCGGGCGUGAAAGCCCCGGGCUCAACCCGGGAAGUGCACUCGAUACUGCGGAACUUUGAGUUUCGGAGAGGUUGGUAGAAUUCUUGGUGUAGAGGUGAAAUUCGUAGAUAUCAAGAGGAAUACCGGUGGCGAAGGCGGCCAACUGGACGAAAACUGACGCUGAGACACGAAAGCAUGGGGAGCAAACAGG
rnacentral:rRNA from 1 species